GCGACGCCGCGUGAGGGAUGACGGCCUUCGGGUUGUAAACCUCUUUCAGCAGGGAAGAAGCGCAAGUGACGGUACCUGCAGAAGAAGCACCGGCUAACUACGUGCCAGCAGCCGCGGUAAUACGUAGGGUGCGAGCGUUGUCCGGAAUUAUUGGGCGUAAAGAGCUCGUAGGCGGCCUGUCGCGUCGGAUGUGAAAGCCCGGGGCUUAACCCCGGGUCUGCAUUCGAUACGGGCAGGCUAGAGUGUGGUAGGGGAGAUCGGAAUUCCUGGUGUAGCGGUGAAAUGCGCAGAUAUCAGGAGGAACACCGGUGGCGAAGGCGGAUCUCUGGGCCAUUACUGACGCUGAGGAGCGAAAGCGUGGGGAGCGAACAGGAUUAGAUACCCUGGUAGUCCACGCCGUAAACGUUGGGAACUAGGUGUUGGCGACAUUCCACGUCGUCGGUGCCGCAGCUAACGCAUUAAGUUCCCCGCCUGGGGAGUACGGCCGCAAGGCUAAAACUCAAAGGAAUUGACGGGGGCCCGCACAAGCAGCGGAGCAUGUGGCUUAAUUCGACGCAACGCGAAGAACCUUACCAAGGCUUGACAUACGCCGGAAACGUCUAGAGAUAGGCGCCCCCUUGUGG
rnacentral:rRNA from 2 species